AUGAUUAAAAUGAAGGAAAUAAAGAAGCCUAGAAUUCCUAGGAUUGUUGAAAGAGAAGCAACAGAUACUUGGACAAGAUUGCAGACCCAGGAAUGUUGAAAGAAAAGGUCACAUAUCACAAACGAGAUGCUCCUAGGAUUCUAAGUGCACCAGGCACUGCAUCAUAAAGAGCAGCACUGCUUUGAAAAGCUCACGAAAAGUGACAGAUUUAUUUACUAAACAGUGUUCCAAAUGACCAUGCAAGAAUAAGUGAGAUUAGGCUCACAGCCAAGUUCCCAAUGUCAGGACUCAG